rnacentral:rRNA from 1 species
UACGAAGGGGGCUAGCGUUGCUCGGAAUCACUGGGCGUAAAGCGCACGUAGGCGGAUUGUUAAGUCAGGGGUGAAAUCCUGGAGCUCAACUCCAGAACUGCCUUUGAUACUGGCGAUCUCGAGUCCGGGAGAGGUGAGUGGAACUGCGAGUGUAGAGGUGAAAUUCGUAGAUAUUCGCAAGAACACCAGUGGCGAAGGCGGCUCACUGGUCCGGUACUGACGCUGAUGUGCGAAAGCGUGGGGAGCAAACAGG